rnacentral:other from 1 species
GACCCUCUGGGGUGCUCGUGGCGCGGCGACAGUUAUUAAUCCCGCUGUACCUAACCCUUGGGAUCUGUUCCUUACCGCGGUGUGCAGACCGGUCAUUGCGUAUCGGAAGCCUGAAGCGGUAAUACGGAGCCCCCCUUCCGAGGACGCGGGGUUGGAACGCCGAGUAACACGGCACCAACGGAGGGUUA